rfam:Salmo salar isolate Sally breed double haploid chromosome ssa21, whole genome shotgun sequence.
AAUGCACCAAUUUGUAAGUCGCUCUGGAUAAGAGCGUCUGUUAAAUCACAUAAA